CCUACGGGCGGCAGCAGUGGGGAAUAUUGGGCAAUGGGCGCAAGCCUGACCCAGCAACGCCGCGUGAGCGAUGAAGGUCUUCGGAUUGUAAAGCUCUGUCGCAGGGGACGAAGUAUGACGGUACCCUGUAAGAAAGCCUCGGCAAACUACGUGCCAGCAGCCGCGGUAAUACGUAGGGGGCUAGCGUUGUCCGGAAUUACUGGGCGGAAAGGGAGUGUAGACGGCUUGGCAAGUUAAGUGUGAAAGCCUGCGGCUUAACCGUAGAAAUGCACUUAAAACUGACUCGCUAGAGUGCAGGAGAGGUAGGUGGAAUUCCUAGUGUAGCGGUGGAAUGCGUAGAUAUUAGGAAGAACACCAGAGGCGAAGGCGGCUCACUGGACUGUAACUGACGUUGAGGCUCGAAAGCGUGGGGAGCAAACAGGAUUAGAUACCCCAGUAGUC
rnacentral:rRNA from 1 species